CACGUAGGGUGCAAGCGUUGUCCGGAAUUACUGGGCGUAAAGCGUGCGUAGACGGCUAUCUAAGUCGGGUGUGAAAGCCCCGGGCUCAACCUGGGAAUUGCAUUCGAGACUGAAUAGCUAGGGUACGGUAGAGGGAAGUGGAAUUUCCGGUGUAGCGGUGAAAUGCGUAGAUAUCGGAAGGAACAUCAGUGGCGAAAGCGACUUCCUGGACCAGUACCGACGUUCGGGCACGAAAGCGUGGGGAGCAAACAGG
rnacentral:rRNA from 1 species